rnacentral:rRNA from 1 species
UUCCAGACUCCUACGGGAGGCAGCAGUGGGGAAUAUUGCACAAUGGGGGAAACCCUGAUGCAGCGACGCCGCGUGAGCGAUGAAGUAUUUCGGUAUGUAAAGCUCUAUCAGCAGGGAAGAAGAUGACGGUACCUGACUAAGAAGCCCCGGCUAACUACGUGCCAGCAGCCGCGGUAAUACGUAGGGGGCAAGCGUUAUCCGGAUUUACUGGGUGUAAAGGGAGCGUAGACGGCGAUGCAAGCCAGAUGUGAAAGCCCGGGGCUCAACCCCGGGACUGCAUUUGGAACUGUGUGGCUGGAGUGUCGGAGAGGCAGGCGGAAUUCCUAGUGUAGCGGUGAAAUGCGUAGAUAUUAGGAGGAACACCAGUGGCGAAGGCGGCCUGCUGGACCGUGACUGACGUUGAGGCUCGAGAGCGUGGGGAGCAAACAGGAUUAGAUACCCGCGUACC